AACCUCCCACUGAGCCAAACAAAGUCUCCACUCUCGAGAUCUGAGACGGGCUCCUUCCAGGCGACUGACGGCGUCGGCGAUUCGGCGCAACCGGCGGCGGCUCGGCGUCAGUGUGCGCGGCAAGGAGGCCCCGACGUCUGCGGCUCGGCAAGGGGAGGUCAAGGCGGCGGCGGCGGCGCCGCCUGCGGCUGCAAGGCGAGGGCUAGGUGCCGACGGGUUAAGGAGCAGGGAAGGCGGCGGUGGCUGGGGGAGACGGCGCGUCGGCUCGUUUUGGGGAACGAUGCGGGCACCGGCCGCCGGCGGCUGUUGAGGGGGCUGCAGGCGGCGGCGACGGCAUGGGGAGUUCCAGGCGACGGCGAGGGAGGCUGCGGCGACGGCGGAAGGCUGCGACGACGCCAGCGGCUUAAGAAGAAGCUGUAGGCGGCGGCGACGGCACAGGUUACUCCCCCCUCCCCUUCUCUUCCCUCCAUGGCGAGAGAGACACAAGGAAGAUGCGUGCGUCGGUGCGUGCGUUUGCCAUGGCAGGCAGCAGCGGAGAUUGACACGGCGGACGACACGAGGUGCGGCAGUCUGAUGCUGAAAGCACCAGCUAGCUAGCGGCAGUCCUCCUGGCCCUUGCCGAGGAGGACGAUGACGGUGGCAAGCUACGCUGC
rnacentral:lncRNA from 1 species